UGAUACAUGAUAUAGCUUUGCUUGCUUUAUAAUCAUUUUAAAACCCUGUUUCAAACCACUGAGGAUGAGGAUCCAAUGUACUCUG